CNNNANNUGCNNGUCGAGCGGACAGAAGGGAGCUUGCUCCCGGAUGUUAGCGGCGGACGGGUGAGUAACACGUGGGUAACCUGCCUGUAAGACUGGGAUAACUCCGGGAAACCGGAGCUAAUACCGGAUAGUUCCUUGAACCGCAUGGUUCAAGGAUGAAAGACGGUUUCGGCUGUCACUUACAGAUGGACCCGCGGCGCAUUAGCUAGUUGGUGAGGUAACGGCUCACCAAGGCGACGAUGCGUAGCCGACCUGAGAGGGUGAUCGGCCACACUGGGACUGAGACACGGCCCAGACUCCUACGGGAGGCAGCAGUAGGGAAUCUUCCGCAAUGGACGAAAGUCUGACGGAGCAACGCCGCGUGAGUGAUGAAGGUUUUCGGAUCGUAAAGCUCUGUUGUUAGGGAAGAACAAGUGCAAGAGUAACUGCUUGCACCUUGACGGUACCUAACCAGAAAGCCACGGCUAACUACGUGCCAGCAGCCGCGGUAAUACGUAGGUGGCAAGCGUUGUCCGGAAUUAUUGGGCGUAAAGGGCUCGCAGGCGGUUUCUUAAGUCUGAUGUGAAAGCCCCCGGCUCAACCGGGGAGGGUCAUUGGAAACUGGGAAACUUGAGUGCAGAAGAGGAGAGUGGAAUUCCACGUGUAGCGGUGAAAUGCGUAGAGAUGUGGAGGAACACCAGUGGCGAAGGCGACUCUCUGGUCUGUAACUGACGCUGANGAGCGAAAGCGUGGGGAGCGAACAGGAUUAGAUACCCUGGUAGUCCACGCCGUAAACGAUGAGUGCUAAGUGUUAGGGGGUUUCCGCCCCUUAGUGCUGCAGCUAACGCAUUAAGCACUCCGCCUGGGGGAGUACGGUCGCAAGA
rnacentral:rRNA from 1 species